rnacentral:rRNA from 1 species
AGACUUUGAUCCUGGCUCAGAACGAACGCUGGCGGCAUGCCUAACACAUGCAAGUCGAACGGGAUCCGUUCUUCGGAACGGUGAGAGUGGCGGACGGGUGAGUAACGCGUGGGAAUCUGCCCAGUGGUGGGGGAUAACUGCGGGAAACUGCAGCUAAUACCGCAUGAGCCCGAGAGGGGAAAGAUUUAUCGCCAUUGGGGGAGCCCGCGUUCGAUUAGGUAGUUGGUGAGGUAACGGCUCACCAAGCCGACGAUCGAUAGCUGGUCUGAGAGGAUGAUCAGCCACACUGGGACUGAGAUACGGCCCAGACUCCUACGGGAGGCAGCAGUGGGGAAUAUUGUACAAUGGGGGCAACCCUGAUCCAGCAAUGCCGCGUCCGUUUUAAUCCUUCGGGUUGUAAAGCUCUUUUGCCAGGACGAUGAGACGGCACCUGAGAAAGCCCGUCGUCGUAACCCCAUU